rnacentral:rRNA from 1 species
ACAGCAGUAGCCGCGGGAACACGUAGGGUGCGAGCGUUAAUCGGAAUUACUGGGCGUAAAGCGUGCGCAGGCGGUUCGUUAAGACAGAUGUGAAAUCCCCGGGCUUAACCUGGGAACUGCAUUUGUGACUGGCGAGCUAGAGUAUGGCAGAGGGGGGUAGAAUUCCACGUGUAGCAGUGAAAUGCGUAGAGAUGUGGAGGAAUACCGAUGGCGAAGGCAGCCCCCUGGGCCAAUACUGACGCUCAUGCACGAAAGCGUGGGGAGCAAACAGGAUUAGAUACCCGGGUAGUCCCUGUCUCUUAUAC